UAGUAGUGAAAUCUAAUUGUAGAACUCUCCCCUUAUAAUAUAUAACAAGUUUCGAUUUGUUCGGUUCGGUUAGUCAGUAUCGAGUUACGGUUGUGUGAAGACCGGUUUUUUUUACGUUUGUUGUAAAUAUGGACCACGAACAACGCGUUGACAUGGGUAAAGAAAUUACUAUGCCCAAAUUCGUACUCGUCAGAUUUGGCACCGUGCAACUUUUGACUCUUCUUUUUAAGAUUCGUUGCCAGUUGCCACAGAACAGUGCGUACGUGCAUUGCAGUCCACUGUAGUUGAAACAUGUCUGCCUUUUGCAUAUGCUGCGCUGUGAUGCAUUUAGAAUACUUUUUUCAUUCCGCAGAAUGCGCUUUCUUAACGCGAUGGCCUCGUGACAACGUAGCCUUACCAAAAAAAAAAGGAGAAAAACGAGAACGUUUCUCAUUUAGCGAAAAGGUCGUUGAAAAACAAAAUAUUAUGCACUAUUUGCAAUUGAAUAAUGUAAAUAUUCAGGCAGUCUAUCAAAUAUUAAGCACUGCGACGAAAUUAAAAGUGAAAUGUAGAAAUAUACUUCAUGCCCAAUUUUUUCCAAAGUUUGUGAUAAAGUUAAAGAAGUUUUUAUGCACAUUUGGAUAAAUUAGCUGUUUACAAUUUCAAAAUCAAAUUAGAUAUGCUAAACAUAGUUAUACAUUACAUUUGUUACACAUUUAUAUCAAAAAUAAUAAUGGAAUCGAACAUAAUAAAUAGUAAGAACGUAUGAAGAGCAUUAAAAUACAUUACUAUUUUUUUGAAUUGAUAAUAA